rnacentral:rRNA from 1 species
AAUGGGGGAUAACGUAGCGAAAGUUACGCUAAUACCGCAUAUGCCCUGAGGGGGAAAGGUGGGGAUCGCAAGACCUAUCGUUUUCGGAGUGGCCGAUAUCAGAUUAGCUAGUUGGUGGGGUAAAGGCCCACCAAGGCGACGAUCUGUAGCGGGUCUGAGAGGAUGAUCCGCCACACUGGGACUGAGACACGGCCCAGACUCCUACGGGAGGCAGCAGUGGGGAAUUUUGGACAAUGGGGGCAACCCUGAUCCAGCCAUGCCGCGUGAGUGAAGAAGGCCUUCGGGUUGUAAAGCUCUUUCAGCCGGAAAGAAAUCGCGCAGGCUAAUAUCCUGCGUGGAUGACGGUACCGGAAGAAGAAGCACCGGCUAACUACGUGCCAGCAGCCGCGGUAAUACGUAGGGUGCGAGCGUUAAUCGGAAUUACUGGGCGUAAAGCGUGCACAGGCGGUUUUGUAAGACAGGCGUGAAAUCCCCGGGCUUAACCUGGGAACUGCGUUUGUGACUGCAAGGCUAGAGUGUGGCAGAGGGGGGUAGAAUUCCG